CUGGUCUCAUAUCCUUUGAAUCGCAAAUGAAAAAGCAAUUAAUUGUAGUAGCAACCAAUGAAACAUUCAUUAUAUAAUGUUUCAUAGACUUUUCAUUGAUAACAGCUUUAACUGUAAAACAUCGUGAAAUCAAAGCAUACCCAUGAAAAUACAAUUAGUUCACCAUGAUUUUCGUAUUCACGUUGUAUUCACGGUGAUUUGAUGGGUAUGCUGUUUUUGACAACUUUAUUCAAUCCAUGAAACUAACAGUAAAAUAAUAUUAAUUUUUGGCCUGAUAAUAAUUGCAGCAGGUAAAAAUUUAUGGCCUAAAUUUAAUAUCAUGUGAGCACUGAACAAGUAGAUCUAAGUUAACAUAAGAAAGUUUGGAUCAUGUCUGGUGGAUCUUGCAGACACCCCUCCAUAAAGCAAGAGAAGACCAUUGAGUUCUCAUUAAAGUCUUAGACUCUGUUGGUUGCUUUUCUUUUCUUUUUUCAGAAUUUCUAUAUAAAGCCCAGUGCAGCAGUUGCUAUGCGCAUGCGCAGUUACUAGUUGCUAUAGCUCCAGAACUGAGAGUCUAAAAAUUAAAGCAGGGAAACUUCAGAGGAUACCAUGUACGCCACUACUACGUAUACCAGGGAACAAAGGCUCAAAGAGGAUGAAACAGAGGAUGGUGUCAUGACCAGGAUAGCAAGUGCGGCAGCCUAGGAUUCUACUAGAGAGACUUGAGUCAAAGUAGUCUGAAAUAAGGAGGGACCAAGAGUGGCUUCUUAUUAUAAGGCUCGAAAUAUUGGUUGUCAGAGAUAACGAAAAGAACGAUCCUUCUACGUGUGCACUGGGAGAGGAAAAAGAGACAAAAGAGACAGGAAGAUAUUAUGUUAUGUUAUGGCAUACAAAUGCUCGUGGCCAUAGCAUGUACGUUUUAAUUUUAAGUUUCAUUUGAUGGAUAUGUAAAUUUUGACUCACUUUAUAACUAUUAUUAAAUUUUAAUGGAUAUUUCACAAUGCUCAA